rnacentral:rRNA from 1 species
UACAGAGGUCUCAAGCGUUGUUCGGAUUCAUUGGGCGUAAAGGGUGCGUAGGCGGCGCGGUAAGUCGGGUGUGAAAUCUCGGAGCUUAACUCCGAAACUGCAUUCGAUACUGCCGUGCUUGAGGACUGGAGAGGAGACUGGAAUUUACGGUGUAGCGGUGAAAUGCGUAGAUAUCGUAAGGAAGACCAGUGGCGAAGGCGGGUCUCUGGACAGUUCCUGACGUGAGGCACGAAGGUCAGGGGAGCAAACGGGG